AAGGCAGGUUGAAGUGUUAGCCAGGUUGAUAGUGUCUCAGAUAUGGAACCUGCCUGCAGGCUCUGUGGCUCUUUUGGGGGAGGGUUCAGAAAAGGGACAAUGGCCUCUGCCCACCUGUCUAGGAGAGAGCUGUCCACCAGCUCUCACCUUGAUUCCAGACACUUCAGUUUCUCCCUGU